GUCCGUGCCGGAAGGUUAAUUGAUGGGGUUAGCGCAAGCGAAGCUCUUGAUCGAAGCCCCGGUAAACGGCGGCCGUAACAAUAACGGUCCUAAGGUAGCGAAAUUCCUUGUCGGGUAAGUUCCGACCUGCACGAAUGGCGUAAUGAUGGCCAGGCUGUCUCCACCCGAGACUCAGUGAAAUUGAACUCGCUGUGAAGAUGCAGUGUACCCGCGGCAAGACGGAAAGACCCCGUGAACCUUUACUAUAGCUUGACACUGAACAUUGAGCCUUGAUGUGUAGGAUAGGUGGGAGGCUUUGAAGUGUGGACGCCAGUCUGCAUGGAGCCGACCUUGAAAUACCACCCUUUAAUGUUUGAUGUUCUAACGUGGACCCGUAAUCCGGGUUGCGGACAGUGUCUGGUGGGUAGUUUGACUGGGGCGGUCUCCUCCUAAAGAGUAACGGAGGAGCACGAAGGUUGGCUAAUCCUGGUCGGACAUCAGGAGGUUAGUGCAAUGGCAUAAGCCAGCUUGACUGCGAGCGUGACGGCGCGAGCAGGUGCGAAAGCAGGUCAUAGUGAUCCGGUGGUUCUGAAUGGAAGGGCCAUCGCUCAACGGAUAAAAGGUACUCCGGGGAUAACAGGCUGAUACCGCCCAAGAGUUCAUAUCGACGGCGGUGUUUGGCACCUCGAUGUCGGCUCAUCACAUCCUGGGGCUGAAGUAGGUCCCAAGGGUAUGGCUGUUCGCCAUUUAAAGUGGUACGCGAGCUGGGUUUAGAACGUCGUGAGACAGUUCGGUCCCUAUCUGCCGUGGGCGCUGGAGAACUGAGGGGGGCUGCUCCUAGUACGAGAGGACCGGAGUGGACGCAUCACUGGUGUUCGGGUUGUCAUGCCAAUGGCACUGCCCGGUAGCUAAAUGCGGAAGAGAUAAG
rnacentral:rRNA from 1 species